CUCGAGACUCGAGUCACACUUGGGUAUCCUGUUGCCUGGGCAUGCUCGAGUCCUCGAAGAGUAACUCCUGACCUGACUCAUUCGCGGUAACCCUUGUGACUCUGCCAGUCACCGGGUUAGUGAUGUGG